AACGUAGGAGACAAACGUUAUCCGGAAUCACUGGGCGUAAAGGGCGCGUAGGUGGCCUGUGGAAGUCUGCGGUGAAAGCCCGGCGCUCAACGCCGGGUCGGCCGUGGAUACUCUCGGGCUCGAGCUUACUAGAGGCAGAUGGAAUUCCGGGGUGUAGCGGUGGAAUGCGUAGAGAUCCGGAAGAACACCGGUGGCGAAGGCGGUCUGCUGGGGUAAUGCUGGACACUGAUGCGCGACAGCGUGGGGAGCAACAGG
rnacentral:rRNA from 1 species